GUUCUAACGAACAGUGGUAGGAGAGCGUUCUAAGUGCUGUGAAGUCAGACCGGAAGGACUGGUGGAGCGCUUAGAAGUGAGAAUGCCGGUAUGAGUAGCGAAAGACGGGUGAGAAUCCCGUCCACCGAAUGCCUAAGGUUUCCUGAGGAAGGCUCGUCCGCUCAGGGUUAGUCGGGACCUAAGCCGAGGCCGAAAGGCGUAGGCGAUGGACAACAGGUUGAUAUUCCUGUACCACCUCCUCACCAUUUGAGCAAUGGGGGGACGCAGGAGGAUAGGGUAAGCGCGGUAUUGGAUAUCCGCGUCCAAGCAGUUAGGCUGGGAAAUAGGCAAAUCCGUUUCCCGUGAAGGCUGAGCUGUGAUGGCGAGCGAAAUUUAGUAGCGAAGUUCCUGAUUCCACACUGCCAAGAAAAGCCUCUAGCGAGGUGAGAGGUGCCCGUACCGCAAACCGACACAGGUAGGCGAGGAGAGAAUCCUAAGGUGAUCGAGAGAACUCUCGUUAAGGAACUCGGCAAAAUGACCCCGUAACUUCGGGAGAAGGGGUGCUUCUUAGGGUGUUAAAGCCCCGAGAAGCCGCAGUGAAUAGGCCCAGGCGACUGUUUAGCAAAAACACAGGUCUCUGCGAAGCCGUAAGGCGAAGUAUAGGGGCUGACGCCUGCCCGGUGCUGGAAGGUUAAGAGGAGCGCUUAGCGUAAGCGAAGGUGCGAAUUGAAGCCCCAGUAAACGGCGGCCGUAACUAUAACGGUCCUAAGGUAGCGAAAUUCCUUGUCGGGUAAGUUCCGACCCGCACGAAAGGCGCAACGAUCUGGGCACUGUCUCAACGAGAGACUCGGUGAAAUUAUAGUACCUGUGAAGAUGCAGGUUACCCGCGACAGGACGGAAAGACCCCGUGGAGCUUUACUGCAGCCUGAUAUUGAAUGUUGGUACAGCUUGUACAGGAUAGGUAGGAGCCUUGGAAACCGGAGCGCUAGCUUCGGUGGAGGCAUCGGUGGGAUACUACCCUGGCUGUAUUGA
rnacentral:rRNA from 1 species